rnacentral:rRNA from 1 species
UGGGGAAUCUUGGUCAAUGGGCGCAAGCCUGAACCAGCGACGCCGCGUGAGUGAUGAAGGCCUUCGGGUUGUAAAGCUCUGUGGGGAGAGACGAAAGAAUCGGUUCUAACAGGACCGAAGUUGACGGUAUCUCCUUAGCAAGCACCGGCUAACUCUGUGCCAGCAGCCGCGGUAAGACAGAGGGUGCAAACGUUGCUCGGAAUCACUGGGCGUAAAGGGCGUGUAGGCGGGAAUGUAAGUCGGGCGUGAAAUCCCCAGGCUCAACCUGGGAACUGCACUCGAAACUGCGUUUCUUGAGUAUCGGAGAGGAAAGCGGAAUACCUGGUGUAGAGGUGAAAUUCGUAGAUAUCAGGUGGAACACCAGUGGCGAAGGCGGCUUUCUGGACGAUUACUGACGCUGAGACGCGAAAGCGUGGGGAGCAAACAGG